rnacentral:rRNA from 1 species
ACUCAAAGGAAUUGACGGGAUCCCGCACAAGCAGUGGAGUAUGUGGUUUAAUUCGACGCAACGCGAAGAACCUUACCAGGACUUGACAUCCUAAGAAGACGACGUAAAUGUUGUUGUGCCCUUCGGGGAACUUAGAGACAGGUGGUGCAUGGUUGUCGUCAGCUCGUGUCGUGAGAUGUUGGGUUAAGUCCCGCAACGAGCGCAACCCCUACCUUUAGUUGCUACGCAAGAGCACUCUAGAGGGACUGCCGUUGACAAAACGGAGGAAGGUGGGGACGACGUCAAAUCAUCAUGCCCCUUACGUUCUGGGCUACACACGUACUACAAUGGCGUAAACAAAGGGAAGCAAUAUCGCGAGAUGGAGCAAACCCCCAAAAGACGUCCCAGUUCGGACUGUAGGCUGCAACCCGCCUGCACGAAGUUGGAAUUGCUAGUAAUCGUAGGUCAGCAUACUACGGUGAAUACGUUCCCGGGAUUUGUACACACCGCCCGU